rfam:TPA: Bos taurus chromosome 8, whole genome shotgun sequence.
UCCCUAAUGGUCUAGUGGUUAAGACUCUGUGCUUUCAGUGCAGGGACUGUGGGUUCGAUCCCUAGUUGGGGAA